CAUCCUGAUUGUUUUAUUCCUCUUAAGUCAGAUCAUUAUGGAGAAAAAGAGGGAUGUGAACCAGACGUCACUCCCAAUCCCCUUAUGAAGAAGGUUGAUUUCAUCCAUUUGGCAGGACAGGCUUUUAAAGUUUUGGCUCAUUGAUAUUUUUAAUUGGUAAACUGGGGAGAGACCAAUUAUUCAGUUGUCUCUUUUGAGGUCGAAUAAUGCAGAGGCUAACUUUGGAUGAUGCAAAGUCUCAUUCAAGAAAGGAAUUCUCCAGGGAAAACUGAAACAAGUCGGAUGCAGGAAUUGGACUUCAGAUAACUUUUUUGAUCCGUGCUGGGACAUACAGUUUCUUGUUUUUGCUUUUGCUCAGGAGUGCUUUUGUCUACCCCUGGAAUCUGGAAGGCUGGCUUUGUCAUUCACUAUCUAGCGUGCCCCGAGAACCAAGUCACCAGGUCCACAUUCAAGAAGGAGGGGUUGUAUAAGACAAGAAUACCGGAAAUGAGGAUUAUUGGGAGUCAUCUUGGAAGCUGCCUACCACAUAACUGUAUCACAAAUUCACUUCGUAGUAUUUUGAUAACUGUAUGUUAAUAAAAUC